UUCGCAAUGCCCGAAAGGGUGACGAAGCGACGCCGCGUGUGGGAAGAAGGCCUUCGGGUUGUAAACCACUGUCGGGAGUUAAGAAAUGCAAGAAUGUUAAUAGCGUUUUUGCUUGACUAAGGCUCCGGAGGAAGCCACGGCUAACUCUGUGCCAGCAGCCGCGGUAAUACAGAGGCGGCAAGCGUUGUUCGGAAUUAUUGGGCGUAAAGAGCACGUAGGCGGCUAUAUAAGUCGGUUGUGAAAGCCUUCCGCUCAACGGGAGAACAGCAUCCGAUACUGUGUGGCUUGAGUGUGGGAGGGGAGAGCGGAACUUCUGGUGGAGCGGUGAAAUGCGUAGAUAUCAGAAGGAACGCCGGCGGCGAAAGCGGCUCUCUGGCCCAUAACUGACGCUGAGUGUGCGAAAGCUAGGGGAGCAAACGGGAUUAGAUACCCCGGUAGUCCUAGCCGUAAACGAUGGGCACUAAGUAGAGGGGUUU
rnacentral:rRNA from 1 species